rnacentral:rRNA from 1 species
UGGGGAAUUUUGCACAAUGGGGGAAACCCUGAUGCAGCGACGCCGCGUGAUUUAGAAGGCCUUCGGGUUGUAAAAAUCUUUUGUAUGGGAAGAAAAUGACAGUACCAUACGAAUAAGGACCGGCUAAUUACGUGCCAGCAGCCGCGGUAAUACGUAAGGUCCGAGCGUUGUCCGGAAUCAUUGGGCGUAAAGGGUACGUAGGCGGAUAAGCAAGUUAGAAGUGAAAUCCUAUAGCUCAACUAUAGUAAGCUUUUAAAACUGCUCAUCUUGAGGUAUGGAAGGGAAAGUGGAAUUCCUGGUGUAGCGGUGAAAUGCGCAAGUAUUAGGGGGAAUACCGGGUGCGAAGGCGACUUUCUGGCCGUAUACUGACGCUGAAGUACGAAAGCGUGGGUGGCAAACAGG